ensembl:lncRNA
AAAAAAACCAACAGGUUAAGUGGUGCCUGGAAUUAUUCCUGUUGGACUGUAAACUUGUCAGCACAGAAUCUGUACCUGUUUUCCUCCCGAUUCCCUGACGUGUAGCACUGCCAGCCCAGAGCCACACACACAUUGCAGGAGUGAUGUGAAGAGGGGCAGAAGGAUACAAAGCAGAAGGCUCAGAGGUUGGAGCCGAAGGCUGGAGGUGGACAUCCAGGUGAGGAGAGACUGAAGAGUUUCUCUGCAUUUAGAUUUGGUCCAAAGGAGCUGCCUCGAAAGGGUAAACUCUUGCACCUUCUAUCCAGCUCUUUGUCCCCAGUGACAAAUAAAGGACCACCAAGAACAGUCUGAAACUUGUGACCAACAGAUGGAAAAACGUACAAACUCUUCUCCUUCCAGUCAAGAUAAAGGUUAAACAUGUAAAUGAGGAAAGCAAGAGUUUUGCAGUGAUGUGCUUUUCUUUUCUCCUUUGCCAGCUCAGAGAGCCACCAUGUGAAUAUUCCCCUGGCAUGCUUACACUCUUGCUUAGUACACUUAUGCCCAAGUUUUACUACAGGUAACCGUCCAAGUUUGAUACCAAUGGGAAUUCUACAGAGGCAGUAUAUCUGAAUGCAUUUUCCACAUCCACGUGCCCCAUGAUGAUAUGCCCAUGUAAACAUAUGCAAUGCACUGAAUUUUCCAUCAGCAGGUGCUCCAGAAGAAUGACUCUGCAAUCAAGACCUAGCUAAAUUCCUCUUAAAAACCCAGUUUUUUUCCUUCCUUAAUGAACUCCAAUAACAAAAUGUGCUUCUUUGAACACGGGAAGGAUCCUUCUCUGCAACCAUACCCUUGUAUUCUCCAAAGCUCACUGUUCAGCAAGUGCUUCUCAAGGCAUUUUUCCUCCUUCCUAUUUUAUGCCAAUGCAAGAAGUGGAAUAAGAAAGCCUGACUCUCAAAGUGUAAAAACAGACACAUUGUAGGCAAUUUGAGUGCCUGGUACAACAUCUGCAUUCACAGCAAUUUCCAGCCGCCUGGUGAGUUGAAGGUAAAACAACACAGGGUAGAGGGUUUUGGUCAAUAUAUCAACUCUUUGACUCUUCCUAUGGCUGACAUGCGUGACUGAAACUUCAUAUUUUUCACAAUUAAGAAAAAAAAUUAAAUCUCCUUCACAGAUUUCCAUCUCCAGAGAUUCUCCUUCUACUGAUGACUAAGUGAAGAGGGAAUUUCUGGAAUGGGUUGAUUUAGUUUGUGAUUUACUUCCAUUUUUCCUUGCUCUUCCAAGUGUUAAUUACAAUUAAUGGAAAUGGAGAAGAUAUUUGGGAACAAGGAGCUUAUAAUUUUUAUCUUGUUGCUACUCAGUAACUGCUAUAGGUAUAAAUCAAUGUAUUUAAGAAAAAACACCCUAGUAACUAAGUGAUGGCACUUUCUAUGCAUAAAGAAAGUGGCUUUUCUCCUAUGUCUCUAAUACCAACUGCAAAUUUAUGCAUAGCUUUGGAGGUCUGAUCCCCUAAUUCUUAAUUUUGAAAUGUUGGAAAAAAAUGGGUGAGAGCUUGUAAACAAGAUAUAUUUGGUCGUUCUUCCAAUGUCCUUUGAUCUAUGUAAUAAAGGUCAGCAUUCAGUGCUUCAUUCUACAUUCUCCCAAAUAUCUAAUUGCCUAAUUAUUGCAUUAUUUCACAGCCAAUCAGCUGAAGGGGUUUGUAUGGGAGUAUGGCAGAAAAAGAGGGCUGUCAGUCUUUGGUUAUGGUCCUAUAGUUCUAAUUCAAGAAUUAAAUAUCUGUCUUUUCUAAAAGUCAUUACAUGAUUUAUUGGAAAAUUGGUAGAAACAGCCCUGGGGGGUUGUGCUCAAAAUCUGGUUUAGAAGAGUGGCUGCUAGCUAUGACUUUUGAUUUUCUUCUAUCAAAAUGAAUAGCGCUGCCUGUUUCUAUGCAAAUUAAAUGUUUGAAUGUAUUUUUUUAAGACAGAUUAUAUUUGUUAAUUUAAUUGGAUUUCUUAUGCAGUAGGGUGAUUUGUGUUUUGAUCUUUAUUUUUUUCUUUUAAAUGAGGAAGGCAAAUUCUUCCCUAGAAGUGCAGUACUGCUUUUUCUGUUGUUUGAUGGCCCUAAAACGUCUGCAGAAAUUGUAGGUCAAGAAUUACAGCCACAGUAAAUCAUGCCUCAUGAAUGAGAAGUCGUCUGUGAUUUCUCUAGGGUUUUUUUUUCUUUCUUUCUUUUUUUUUUUUUUCUGUCUUUAAAAUGAAUGUAAUAUUCAGAAGAAAAUAAAGCCUCCUUUAGCAUAACUGGCAUAGGUAUGAACCAUAUCAAAAUAUGUGUAUUUAUGACAUUCCAACCCAAGAUCUAGAAUUUAGGCUGUAUCAAGCAGAGAGAAGCCUCUAUAAGUAACCUCAAGAAAAAAAUAUAUAUUUUUAACAAUAUUUAUUCCAGUUAAUUAUUUUUAAAAACAUCAUUAGAUUUCUUCAUACAAAAGUUAUGAUUACUUCUCAUCGCGAACCCAGAAUAGAAUCAGGAAGGAUAUGGGGCAGCUCCUGCAGUGCAGUCUCUGGGAUACGGUACCCCAAGCUCCUGUUCUGGGGGGAGCAGUUGGGGGUCACCCCAGCUCCUCUUUGUAACUUAUUCACCUCCAGUUCUAGAGUAGCCGAUCCACUUCUGUAAUGCUACGUGACAAUACAAGUGAUUGGCUUUUGGUGCUGAUUGUGGACAUGCAGCUAGAGACAGACAAGGAGCAGCCUUGUGGUUUAGUUCACCCUUGUCUCUAUGGAGGGCUCCUCCUGUUUCAUGCUUCCCCACGCUGAAGGCUUAGUAAAAUCAGUAACUGCUGCUGCCUUUCUUUCCACCUUUUCUGCCAAAGUACCUGGUAAAGCAGUAAUGAUGGUGGCUGGAGGAAAAAGCCACAAAAAUACACACUAAAACAGAGAAGAGGAGUUAACUCUAGUAUUUAUGUAUCUUAUAGAUUAUAAGAAAUUUUAUAUUGUACUGUCAGCAGCUGGACCCACAUAAUAGCCCCUAAAGCUUCAAAGAGCAAAUAACAGGCGCAUCAGAUGCAGCUGGGCAGAUACAAUAGAUUGAACAUCUCCAAAGAACUCCCAUUAGAGUCCGUUGGGUCAAUAACCCACAAACUAAGAAGGAUUUACAUGAUAGACCGUAACAGCUGUUUGGAAGCCAUUACAUUUUGUCAAUGCAAAAUCCAGUUUUCAAAAUAUUGUGAUAUACUUAUUUAUGUGAGAGGCCCUAAUGGCGCUGAAGGUGCCAUUCCAA